rnacentral:misc_RNA from 1 species
UUUCCGUAGGUGAACCUGCGGAAGGAUCAUUAACGAGUUAGGGUCUUCCAGGCCCGACCUCCCAACCCUAUGUUUAUUGAACCUCUGUUGCUUCGGCGGACCCGUCUCACGACCGCCGGAGGACCGCCGCGAGGCGUCCUCUGGCCAGCGUCCGCCGAUGGCCAACCACUUAAACUCUGAAUGAAUCGUGUCAUUAUGUCUAAGUCUAUGAUUAAAUUAAAGCAAAACUUUCAACAACGGAUCUCUUGGUUCUG